GGCUAUAGCUCAGUUGGUAGAGCGUUUCGUUUACACCGAAAAUGUCUACGGUUCGAAUCCGUA
rnacentral:tRNA from 1 species